rnacentral:rRNA from 1 species
UGGGGAAUAUUGGACAAUGGGCGAAAGCCUGAUCCAGCCAUGCCGCGUGUGUGAAGAAGGUCUUCGGAUUGUAAAGCACUUUAAGUUGGGAGGAAGGGCAGUAAGCGAAUACCUUGCUGUUUUGACGUUACCGACAGAAUAAGCACCGUCUAACUCUGUGCCAGCAGCCGCGGUAAUACAGAGGGUGCAAGCGUUAAUCGGAAUUACUGGGCGUAGAGCACGCGUAGGUGGUUCGUUAAGUUGAAUGUGAAGGCCCCGGGCUCAACCUGGGAACUGCAUCCAGAACUGGCGAGCUAGAGUAGGGCAGAGGGUGGUGGAAUUUCCGGUGUAGCGGUGAAAUGCGUAGAUAUAGGAAGGAACACCAGUGGCGAAGGCGACCACCUGGGCUCAUACUGACACUGAGGUGCGAAAGCGUGGGGAGGAAACAGG